rnacentral:sRNA from 1 species
UUUUAGCCCCGAUAGGAAUGAUAUCCUCCAAUUUUUCAUUGGAGAUUUAAUGGAUAGCGGGACAAUUG